CCUACGGGAGGCAGCAGUGGGGAAUAUUGGUCAAUGGGCGCGAGCCUGAACCAGCCAAGUCGCGUGAGGGAUGAAGGUUCUAUGGACCGUAAACCUCUUUUAUAAGGGAAUAAAGUGUGGGACGUGUCCUAUUUUGUAUGUACCUUAUGAAUAAGGAUCGGCUAACUCCGUGCCAGCAGCCGCGGUAAUACGGAGGAUCCGAGCGUUAUCCGGAUUUAUUGGGUUUAAAGGGUGCGUAGGCGGCAUUUUAAGUCAGAAGUGAAAGUCUGUGGCUCAACCAUAGAAUUGCCGUUGAAACUGGGGGGCUUGAGUAUGGUUGAGGCAGGCGGAAUGCGUGGUGUAGCGGUGAAAUGCUUAGAGAUCACGCAGAACCCCGAUUGCGAAGGCAGCCUGCCAGGCCAUGACUGACGCUGAUGCACGAAAGCGUGGGGAUCAAACAGGAUUAGAUACCCUUGUAGUC
rnacentral:rRNA from 1 species